rnacentral:lncRNA from 1 species
AAUCUGAGAGGGCACCUAGUUCGAGGACAGGAAAUAAUCUUGGAUGAUGCCACAGUGAAAGCAAACAGCCUACCUAGUAGCAAGGUCUCAAUGGAACAUAUCCGGCAGGCCUGCCUUCUGGACGAUAAGCACAAGCUGAAGGUCAUGCCACACCUCAAGUACCGCGACCUUGACCCAAACCACUUCCAGAAAAUGAAUGUUGCUUCUGCGCAUGCAUUAAUGCACCACAGCACGGCUGCAGGUUUGCGGUAUUUAGUGAACAAAAACCUCCUGCCAAAG